GAGCAGCCCCGCGGCCGCCGGCAGCCAUCUUACGGCGAGCGGCAGCGCACGGGCCGCGGGCCCACCCGCGCGCGGCCCCUUCCGGCGAGCCGCUUGACAAGCGGGCUGUACCACUGCGCGCCGGGGCGGCAGGGAAGGAACCACUGCCGCCGCGGCAAGGGGGGGAAACAGCGUAGCCAGAGGCGGGAGCUGCCGGGGGUGCCCGACGGAGGCGGCAACGCUGCGACACGAACGGGGGAGCUAUACCAUGGCCGGGACGCGGGAGAAAACGGGAGAUACAACUGCUGGGCAAAGUGACAGUGGGGCAGCGGGCUCCGGGCCUCACCGCCCUGACGCGGCUCACAUCGGCGGUGCCUACGGACGCGGAUGACAGAACCAGAACUGGAGAAUCCAAGGAGUAGGUGUUUCCAGAAUAAGUUCACAGUCACAUGAGGUCUUCCUAAUGUCCAGAUGAUUAUCUGCAGUACCUGGCAGCUCCCCAUAACUUGGCAGAAAAAGUUCCUGUCCUAUGUGGGCAUGGCCCAGUCCUUUUUCAGCCAAGCUUUCAGUGCUGAAAUGUGCAUGGAGAAUUAAGAAAGUCAAUUGCUAAAGCCAGAUCUAAACAGCUUUUCCUUAAAGAAACCACUGCUGAUGUGCUCUGUUCAGUUUGGAAUCCAUCCCAUAUGCUGUUCCACAAAGACAUCUCUGAGCAUCAAGAAUCCACUGAAGUCAGUAUGACUCCACAGGAGAAUAAAGAUCCAUCAACAGGGGAAAUCAAAGUUUUCUUCUACUCCAGGACAAGUUAUCCACAUUGAAAAUACAAAAAUUAAGGCUACCAAACCAACAGAGACAGCUUAGAAACAGCUUCAACUACACAGGAUUACGACCGGUUUCACCAUGGUAAUUAGUAGGUAAAAAAAGGGGCAUAAUUUAUUGCUGCCCACUUGUGAUGCAGUAACUAUUUACUCCCUAGGAAUUCCAUAAUUGCUUACUGUUCUUACUUGAUAUUAAAGAAGAAAAAAAUAAGUAAAGAAGAUCUAUUAACAGGGUCUUUUAUAAGAAGGAUUACCAAAAAAACCCCAAAUCAGUUUGCUUAUAGCAGAAAAAUAGUUUUGCAGAAUGGGCUGUGAAUGUAGUACAAACACAAGGCAGCCUUCCAUUUAAAAAAAAAUUCUUGUAUAACUGUAAAGAAACAGUUAAAAAAAUAUACUUUAGAGCUGCUUUAUACUCCCCAUUUUGAGGAAACCUGAGAAACAUCAGCUAUUAAAAAAUAUCUUUACUGAACUUUGAUCUCGCUAUACUUACACAAAGCAAUCCAGCAGUAGUUUUCUCUUUUAUUUGAAAAGUCUAAGUCUGUUGCCUAUAAACUUAGUAUAUAGAUGACAAAUGUUUUCUGCUGCUACUCAUUUUAACUCUCAUUGCUAAUUUUGACAUUAUGGUUCAUAACAGCUGCACAUACACCAGUCUUGAAAAAACACAAAACAACCAAACUCCCUUUUUUACUUACCCUCACAUUCCCAAUCACCACACUUCUUCCAUUCUGAAAGUACCUUUGUACUCUGCAGACUUGUUACAAACGAAAUUACUAAGAGCAAAAAUCUCUGACCCCAGAUCCUUGACAUGUUAAAUCUAGAAUGCAGUGAAACGCCAAAAAACUGCAUCAAUGCCUGGUUAGUGUGAAUAUUUUACAACUUUUUUAACCUAACAAAGCAUUGUGAAUAAACUAACCAUCCUACUUUCCUUCUCUCAUCUGCUUAAGCAGAAGUAUGCUAUGCUAACAAUUUGCAGAGUCAGGUGUCCUGGUUAUACACAUAUGUUUAAUAAUUAACUAUGUCCUGAUAGCAUAAACUGAUGUUUUGAAAACAAAAGAAACUCACUCUGGACGCAUAAAAAUUUAGCUUCUAUCAGAGAGAUUAUUUGGUGCUGAGUUGGUGGAAGAUUGUGUUAGGGGAAAUUGAGCAAGAGUUGUAUUUGGAUGGGGCUUUUUUAAUAUACAUCUUAAUAUCUGAUUUUAAGGUAGACUAUCAAUUUUAUGCUUCUAUUGAUUUGCAUGAUUGUUAAUAUUGCUGACAAAUCUAUAGCUUUUUUUUUUUGUUGUUUGAUAAACACGGUAUUUGGUGUGCACUGUUAGGUUUUUAGAUUGUUUAGAGGUGGCCACUGGAAACUCAGAACAGAAAUUUUCCCCAAAUACUCUUUUUGAAUUUUCUCAGAUGCUAGGUGAUAAGUACAGUCCUUUAGCAUGGGGAAUACUUACUCAACACCAAAGUCUUUUAAGGUGCUUGGCAGUUUUUCAGGUUCUUAUGACAACUAGAAAAUCCAUGUGCUAUUUCUACAUUGUAUAUCACAGAGCAACAUACCAAAGCUAAGCUGGUAAAAUGUUCUGCUUUUUGAGGAAUAGUCACUAUUUCUUAGCAACCUAUCAGCCAAUACAGAAUUGUAAGAAAUCUUCCUGCAGGUACAGGUUAUGCUUUAAAGUAGUAAUUAUGCAGGGGUUUUUAGACUGGUUGUGUAGGUAUUAAGUUAUGCAGAGGUUUGCAUUAGAAGUCAGCUUUACUUCAAAGGCUUCACAUGAUCCUGCACUUCUUGGCCACCUAAAUGUUAUGUCUAAUUUACCUACAAAAGGAGUUUCCUCUUUCUAUUCCCACCCUCCUGCAAGAAGUAGUCUCUUCUCUCCCUUUUCUUGAUGGCUCCCCAAGAAUUUGCAUCCCAUCCUAACCUGAUCAUGUUUACAGUCACACAUUUCCUAAUAGGCCUGCCCCUCCUUCAGUCCUGAGCAUGAGUCACAGAACUUGGUCUGCUUUCUUGUUCCUAUGUGCAGCACCGUUUCCCCUCCUUCCUGCUCUACAACUCAAGCCUGUGAGACACUGGUGCUUAGCCUGAUCUACUAAGCCAGCAAACAGCUCAUCUACUGAAAGGUGGGAAAGAGGGCACAGUGAUCCAGGGUCAUGUUAACCAGUAAUGCCUGGCAAACAAAAACAUCAGUAGAUGGCAUGUCCUCCAGUUGGCAGUCUAACACUUUGGACCCUUCCUUUGCUCCAUAGCCUGAUAGUCAGACAGGCGUCUCCUGCCAGCUAAGUCACUGAAGGAAAGACAAUAUAGAUCAGCACCCAGCCUUACUCCUGACUAGCUUUGACGCAGACUUGUCUCCAGCAUCAGUAUUUUCUCCUUUUCACUCUCUUGGAUCCUGUAUUGCUUAGAGGGUUUGUGAUUUGGGAACUUCCCCAGGGUCCUCUAGGUUUCUGUGUAGGAGAUGAAAGGGGAGAAUGGAAUACCAGGCAGCCAGAUAUGGCAAAUGUAAAGAAACCUGGUGAGCAGAAAGAAGAGAUGAGCUUUUAUUUUUCUUCAUUCCCAAAUCUCUACAGAUUAGUCAGAAGGCACAUAGAAGAAAUUAUCAUCAUGGAAGCACUUAAAUUGUAGUACUACAAAAUAAUAAUGACUACAAUUUAAUUCCUCCAUGAUAAAUAGCUGAUCAGAAGAGUGUUGCAAUGUUGCACAAAUAACCCCAGGGAGCAGUCCCUUUUUAGGAUGGGUAGCAUGAAUUGAUUCACCUAAAAAUGGGAAAGAGAAAAAAAACCUAAGGAAUCUACACCUUGAGAUUUGCACAAGCUGUCAAAGCAGCUCUACAAACAGCUCGGACUUCAGCUUCAUAACUCUCAGAUCUUUGUAUGGAGAUACAACGUUGUAGCUCAUCUUAGCUAUUCAGUUUGAGCUGCACAAUAAGCAGUGCCCAGAAUAAUUUGAAAAUUGCACAUGCAGGUUAAUCUCAGCCACCCUUCUAAGUCUGAAUCUCUUAAAAGGCUCGGGAGUACUGCUUUGAUCUCUGGUCCAAGUUAUUUGUUCCUCCAGUAGUGUUAAUAAUAGAUAUUUAACAAAAAUAUUAUUUUCUCCUCGGUGUAAAUACUUUACAAGCAUAAAUUCUAAUCACCUUUGAACUGAAGUCAAAGAUAAUGAUUCAUGGCAUUUAUAAUAGCUGCCUUCCAAAGGACAAAGUAGAAAAAAAUAUAGCAGAUGCAGUGAAACUUAGUCAGUUUGUGUUCUGGAGAACUGAAACAAGCGUGAAUAAAUUACAUAGGCAAAGACAAUGCUAAUGGAAAAGAUCUGUUUCCAACAGCUUUCAUGCGAUUGAAACUAGUAAUUUUUUAUUUGCAAUGACAUCUUAGGAACUUUAGCUACUGAGCUAGGAAUGCAGAAAUCCCUUAUGGUACAUUAGAUUCCCAGAAGAAUCAGAAUUAAUGGUUAAUUGAAGUAAGCCAGGUAGUAUGGCAACUCUGGAUGUGUCUUUUAAGAUACAGUUUUGUAUAGGUAAAAGAGAUGUUGCAUUUCUUAGGCUUGUCAAUAUCCAUAUUAGUAAUACAGAUCCCAAAGCAAAUCCUGAGUUGGUAAAAGUCCUUCUAAGUAUAUUGAAGUCAACAUCUGUUAUAUAAUAACAGCACCUUUGGUUAUAUUCUUAUGAGAGCUCCAAAAGGCUCCAUACAGAAUGUAGAGUUUCACUGUGUGGAAUUAUAUUCCAUUAAUAUAUGGAAGAAUACAAUUCCACAGCAAAACCAAUCCACAAACCUUUUAAAAUAUGGUUUCCUUGACUUAGGAUGUUUGUAUGAAAAUUCAGAUCAAGUUCCUGGAAUCAAUUGUCAUGCCAAAAAAGAUUUUAUUUGGUUUUAAAAUACCUAUCUUUUAAGAAUUAACAAAUCAAAGGAAGAAGAGGAGCACUAAUUCACUCUUGCAGACAAAUCUAAACAGGUAGCAGUCAUUUACUCUCCAGAUUUAAACCAAGAAAAAAGCCAUUGUUGCUUCCAUACUAGGAAAACAGUUACAAGAAUGGCAACUAACAACUGAGACCUAGCCACAAGACCAUUACCAUCAACAAAGGAUAUUCUAGAAAUUUGUUUGCAGAUUUACUGAGUUUGGAAAUUAAUCUUUCUGGAGGGAUGUGUUUUUUUCUGCAGAACUAAUGUUUCCUUUGAAUACAUGCAACGAAGCUGUUCUAAAGCACAGAAGACAUCACCUUGAGGAACAGGAAUUGGAAGGCAUAUUUCAGUUUAUAAUUAACAAACUGCACAGAAUCUGUUUUGACAAGGUCUCCGAGUGGAGCAUCAUGGAAAAAAAAACCCACCACAUUCUUGGAACUGCCAUGUUUAUCUGUGCAUCAGGACUGAAGAAAAAGACAAGUAAAUGGUAUAGUCUAUAGAAGCUCUAGAAAAAAAACCAAAGAAACCAGGAACCACUUUCUGAAGUUCUAUUUAAAGCUAGAAGAGACCAUCUGAUGCAGCACUCCACCAGACAGGCAUACAUGGUAUGUUGUCCAGACACAUAGAGCAUCUCUACUUCAUUACUUUUUUUGCUUUAAAACCCUUUUCUAUCAUUCCUUUUUCCAUAUUGCUUGAGUAACAAGAGGACAAGGUAUUUUUCCUUUGAUCCUCUAUUCACUGCUAUGUGGAAGGGAAAUAAGAAAAUAUUUUGUUUUCUACCCUUAUGCUGUCUGUGCUUAACUCUCAGAAAGCCAUCAAACUCGGUCCUGAAACAGCAGACUGAGAAGAGGAAGGAGACUGCACCCUUUGUCUCAGGCUUGUCCACAGCUCUGAAAUUGUUUCAGGAAAGACUUGAAUUUGUGAGCAUCAAAAAGGAGGCAGGAACAAGGGCCUUUUGCACCACAAUGGCCACUUACCAUUCAUUUUUCUCUGUGACUCGUCCAUCAGCUUCUGUGUAGCAGGACACAUUCUGCCAGGUAUGUAGAAUAAGUGGGGUUUUGUCUUAGUUCUUAUGUAUUUAAUUAUUUUAGCGUUGUGCUCAUUCCAUUCUUCUUGCUAAGAAAUGAAAGAAAACAACCCUAAGAUACACAAGAAUAAUUUAAACAACAAAAAAACCCAAAACAUCAAGAGCAUAACUAAAACUCACCAACUGAGCAAGCUCAACCUUCUGCUCCAGCAACCGCAGCUCUGUCUGUUUAGCACGUCUUUCUUCAAACAGUUCUCGCCUUUCGUUUUCAACUUGCUUUCUUUCCUCCUCUGCCUGCACUUCAAGUUUUUGUUCAAUUUCUUGUCGUCUCUUUUGCUAAGAUAAACAAACAAGUAUCUUCAGUACUUUUUCUAAAUGAAGAAAGUGUUCUAGUUUGGUCCAAUCACAAUUUUUAUUAUUUAUACCAUUAAAUGCAUUCCUAAAACACAUUAAGAAAUACCUCUUAAAUCACAGGUAGUGGAAAAAAAGAGUUAUCAUUGCAUUGCUCAUUUUGUGUGGGUUAACUAUAAAGUUUAAGCCCCUGUGGAUUUCUGUCUGCUUUUCUAUCAUUCAUUUGGAUUUGAAUUUUUAAUGCAAGCUUAAACCUUUUUCCCCCCCAUAAUGCCAAAAAAAAUGAAAUAGAUUUCAGGUGAGGGAGGGAAAAUGUCAUCUCCCCCAAAAACAAAUAAAAGGUUGCAGACUGGUGUUUGUGACCAACAAAGCAAAUUACACUGUGAAUACUUCCAGUGUAUUAAUCACAAUUAGAUGUAUUAAUGUAAUCCAGGAAUGCCCUGUUUUAUGUCCUAAGCAGCUAUAUGCUGUUAAGAUUGUACAACAGCUGUCUAAACACAAGAAGUACAAUUUAGUAUCUGGACAACACAAUGUGUGUGAUAAAUCAAAAUACAGGUCUGAGGAGUUUUAUAAUAAAUUUUUGUGCAUCAAGAAAAUGGUAUCUCCACAAAUUCUCACAAAAAUGUUGCAAAGAGCAGUAACUUGACAAAGUCUCUUUAUGUACAAAUACUGCUAUAAAUCAGACAAAGACUCCAUGUUUCUAGACCAUCCCAAUCAAUUUUUUUUGUUCUAAAGGCAAGCAGGCAACAGAGAACUUUGGUCCUCUCUCCCAUGCUACGUGACAAGUCAGAUUAAACAGCAGGAUGUCCAAAUACUGAAUCUAAACAUGAUCAAUACCAACAAUGCAAGCCAGCUAUGCUACCAUUACACAGAAAAAGUUAAGUUUAAAAACUCUGAAUCUGCUUCCAUCGAACUGCUGAAAGCAGAACUGCUGAACAUUGUUUUUUAAUCUAAAGGUUAUUAGUAUUCACUGAAUAAUCCAUUUAAGGUAACAGUAAACAAACACCAUGCCUUCCACAAUUUAAAAGGGAAUAUUAGGAAUAAAGGUACCACUGUCCUAUACAGAGGUUAUUCUGAAGUUAUUCUUAAGCUAUGCAAAGGCUUCAUUUUAGUACAAUCAAAUAUAUUAAACCUGGGAUUUAUUCUUAUCUAUAUUAAGAGGGGAAAGCCAUUUGUAGUCAAACAGGUAGCAUAACACAAACACACUGUAGAUGGUUAUAACUUCAGCAUCUGGAACACAUCAGAGAGUGCACUGCUUCAGCAGUACUCUUAUCAACAUUAUUUUCAGAAGUACCCUAUGAUCUAUUAAAUAGUUACCUGAUUAAAGUCUAUCUACUUUAAAUGAUCUCCAAAUAAUGUAAAAAAAGUGUGUGUGGGGAAAUCUAUUUUGUGUUUUACAUGUUUUAAAAAAAUCUAAUUUAAAAAAAACAGACAACAAAACAGUACCUUUUCACUUUUGCAAUGGUCAGAAAUAGUGUGGUGAAGUCAUAUAAUUGUUAAGAGUCCCUUCCCAGUCUUCCACCCCAGUUCUACUAAACUAAACAAAAACCUGUGUGUGCUGCUAACAAUUUGUUGCAUCUGCAGCCUAUGCCAUGGGGAAUUUUCAUUCCUAUUUAAAAGGGGCUUAGCCACACAAUUUUAAAUAAUCAAUAUGUUAUAGAAAUAAAUACCCUCUCAGUAGCAACUGUGGACUCCUGUUUAAACUUUUGAAGAGUGCCCAUCAACAAGCCAAAUAUACGUCGAUUCCUAAAAACAAAAACAAAACCAGAUUUGAAAUUCAGUUCCAGUACUAAAUGUUGUAUUUGCAUAAACAAUCAGGAAAAAAAAUCCACCUCAGAAAGCUGAGUAUUACUCAAGGCCACUAACAACAGAACACACAUGGACUGUGCCAACAGUCAUGGAUAUAAUUUACACUGACAUACCAUGUUUUGCUUAAGAGUAAGACACAGCUCUUAUCCAUAACACAGCACAGAUAGCACUGGCAAAUUGGAAGUUCAAACAUUUUACAUCUGGAAAUAAUGACACUAAAUGAAACACUGAAAGUUAAUAUAAUCCUAAAGCAGAGAGAAUGGAAGAAAUGGUUGAGUAAAUAAGGCAAGGAAAUGCAAGGUCAUUGACCUUUCUGUAAAACAUACCCCUACCUCCAGUCCUGCUCAAAGGAUUAAGGAGCCACAGGAGACUGAAAGCCUAUCUGCCAGUUUGCCUAACAAUAUCUUCUAUGGUAAGACACUGCACCAUGGGAUGAAAUCAGAACUCAUGUCAUCUAGUGAAGUCUUGUUUUGACAAAAUUAAACACGUAAAAUUCUUGAAAGAAUUCCCUUCUCCUGAACAACAACCAAUUUUGAACUACACCUUUUCUUUCCAUUCACUUCCACGUUAAGCUUUACAGCAAGAAGCAGACACUAUCUGCCUUGAAUUUUUACUCAAACAAAAGGGAAAGGAAAUACUAAUCUCAGUACCACUCUACUACAGGGGCACAAACCUGACAUGGAAAGAUGAAGGUACUUGUACAUUAAACAAAAGAAAUAGGAACAAAAAAAAAUAGAGAGGUAGAAACUACUCCCUAUUUGCAUAUGAAUAACAUCCCAGAAGACACUGAGGAGGAGGAAAAAAAAAAAAAAAUCAAGCCUCUUUCUACCACAAGUCACACCGAGAUCAAUACUGGUUUUCUCAUCUACCCAGAAGACUACUAAGUGCACAACAGUGAAGAUACAACUGUAAGGAAAUAGAAGUUUAGCACCUGAAGCUCGAGGGAGUUCAAUAAGAAUUUUGAAAAUCUCUGAGAACAGCUGUUGGAAUCUGGUCAUGGAAGCACAUCAGUUAGUGGUGCUGUAACUGUAAAAUCAGCAAAGUGUCUUUUCUUUGAUAAAUGACCCAUUGUCCUUGUCAGAGCAGCUCUCCAUAAUUCUUUAUUUCAGUUUUCAUUCUUCUAUUUGAGGUAUGGGGUACUAUUUCACCAGCUGCACUGCAGACUGGAGUCCACAAAGUGGGACACAACUGCAGACUUGCUUUUCCAGUGCCUCUUCCUGAAAGAACUCCAUUUCACCAAGAAUUUUAUGAACUACCUCGACUCAAGUAAGUAGGAAGAAAGCAAGUAUACAAAGGAAAAUAAGAAGCAUCAGACAAAAGGAAGGUCAGUCGGACUGUACACACAAUGACUCUGAAAGCAAUAAAAGGAAAACGACAGAUGUGCUGCAUGAAAAACAACAAGCAGAAACCUACACUCAAAAGCCUCUUCCAAUCAACAAAGUAACAAGACAGCUGUAACAGUCCAAAGUGUUAAGCAACCAAUGGAUACCUACUGUCUUAGUCAAAGAUGACCAGUUACAAUAGCACUAGCAAACUUAUGCCUGUAGGUGGCCUGACAAGAGGAAUCUCUGCCAUGUACGGAUCAAAGGAUGUGUUGUUACUGCUGUGAAGUAUCUGGAGAGAGUAUUUCUGCAUACCUUUGUUUUCCUUUCUCAUCCAUAUUUUGAUCUUGUAUAAGGUCUCGACGUGUUCGCUCUUUGGAGGUAGCAACAACAGAAGAUGGCAACGCUGGCUAUAACAAAGAACAAUGAACUACUUUGUGUGUGUUCCAGAUAAGUGAAUUUCUUUCUUCACAGUUCUAUUUAUCAUGUGUUACCUUUUUGAUAUCAUCAUCCUCUGCGUCGCUUUCUUGGCGUGAUUCUCUUCUUGUCCGACGUUCUCCACCCAGCCUGAAGAAGAGAAAGCAUUAGUGGACACUAGAGAAUAUUUGUAGGACAGCAUGUUCCAACAUAAGAAAGUCAUCAUAUAUAGUCAGAAAAACAAACACUUCCAGUUAAGAAUCUCCCCACUGUUCCAAUGACCAGGAAGUAGCAUUUUGCAGGCAGAAUCUACUGUUGGUAGAAAUCAGUGAGAGAAAACAGUUUAAGCUUGAAUUAAGAGCCAACAUUGAUACCACAUUGGCUUUUUAGAAAACCUUUGGAAUUUAUUUCUUGUUUUCAAUGGUUCUACUUUUCCUCUUCCAGAAUAUCUAAAAAGUCUAUUGAUGUAAGGACCACAAGACAGAUUUAAAUGUCUGCAGAUAUAAUAGUUUGUAUGAUUCCUCAAAUGGGAAAUGCUAUUUAUGUCACCUAGCCAAAUACCUUAAAAAACAAGUGAAGAGGGGACCUGAGAACUUGGAUGAACUAUGACUUUAACAAAGAACUAAGCAGUGUGUUAUUUUCAGCUUUCAUUCUCAGCUUUAUGGCCCAGAACCUUGCUGCUGGUAAAGCCAUUUCACAAUAUUCAUUCUGUGUUAACAUAAAAAUUCACAACCAAACCUUGCUUUAGCCAAGAACUACCAACUGAAUGAAGGAAGCUCACCAUCAUUAGUCACAUCUAACAGAUCCGCAUCUAGAUGUGAAAGCUCAAAAUCUCAGUCUGUUGCCACACUGUAGGCAUUCAAUUAAUUGAACAGGACAUCUCAGCCAUGAUUCAGUUUGUCUACUGCUAAAUAAAUCUGGGACACGAAGAAGAAUAAACCAGAAAUUUCCCAGAAUCUUUGUAUUGCUCUAACUUUAUAUUAUUGCUAUAAUUGUUAUAUUGCUGUAAGAUACUAAGGAAAAGAGCCAGAUGAUUUCACCACGUGCAACUGCUAUAACCCAAAAAUGUAUUUUCAACAAAUCCUGAAUAUGUAAUCUUUGAAGAACAGCCUAAAAAUCAUCAGUUAUUAACAAUUCCUGAAACAAAGUAUUUUAAAUAAAGUCUUAUAAUUCCA